rnacentral:rRNA from 1 species
AUGCUGAGAUAUUCUCACUCACUGAAAGUGACUGUUGGUAACUGCAUGUGGACCCGCCAGGUGGCAGGCCCCACGUAUCAGCCACCAAAGUCAGGGCGCGCAGUACACUCGUCACAGAAUGUGCGCCCCAUCCAACUGAACCUUUUUAUGCAACGGGGAAACCAACGCGGCCGAGCAAGGAGACAGUGGCGCCACCCGCCGCUUUCCCAGUCCUCUCCUCCUCCCCUCCGCCCCGCUCCAAAAACCACCGCGCCGCGCCGCGCUUCGCCGCCGUCAGCGGCCAUGGACGUCGCCCCCGGCGAGGAGCCCCCAGCGGCGCCCUCUGGCAUAUAUUACCACAGAAAAAGGAAGCCUUCUGACCCCAUCAGUGGCCUUUCACUUCCUAGUGCAAAGAUGGUUGGCAAUUGGGGAUUUGGCAGUGUUACCAAGGACUGGGAAAGUAUGCAUGCUCGAAAGCUCGAAUUUAUGAAUUUCCUUUCUACUCUGCGUAAGCCCACUCAGAGUUAUGUGGCGAGUGCUGAAGCUAAUAUGAUUAAUAGCUCUGUCGAGCACACAGAACAGAAAAACAGUGAAGUGCUAAUAAUUCUUGAUUCGGACAAUGAAGAUGAAAGCAUGGCAGCAUACAAACAACUGACACCUGAGAAGAACAAACAGCUCUCAUCUGAGAAAAACAAGCAGCUGAUACCAUCAGAACAGGCUGGUACUCUCACAGCAUGUGUGGCAACCCAAGGAAUUGCCGACGUAAAUGACCAAAACAGUCAUAUUGUUCCAUAUGGUCAAAGUGCAACUUUAAUGAAUCAGUAUCAUUUACCCCACUAUCAACCAUCAGUUCAGUUUGAGAGAGUUGUAUUGCAGAAAAGACCUGAGGAGGAACGUAUGCAUGAUCUGGCUGUUGCAAGCUAUGCGGAGAAAAUGGCAGAAACACUUGUUUUCCCUGCUCCUAAGGAGAGAAAACAACGGAAAUAUGACCCAAGUUCCCAGACAGACGGAGAUGCUGAAGCUGGGCCAAGAAAAAGAAAAAGAAAAGGCAAAGAUGAAGCGAGUGCACCAGUAUUUGAUUUGCCCUCAGAAACUUACAAUCCUGCAGAGGAAGAUGAGCCUAUGGAGGAAGAGGAUAAACCAGAAAAUGAAAGUGAUGGUCUCGAUGGUUUCUGGAAUGAGUACUCACUGGCUCUGGAAAGCUCUAAGCUUGACACACCUGAAGAGGCAGACAGUGAGAAAGAAGUGGGUGAAAAGGAGGUGGACAAUGGCUGCAGUCAUGACAUACGGAUUCAUGAAGACCUGGGCCAUGUAUGCCGCGUCUGUGGUAUGAUUGUGAGAAGGGCUGACAUGAUAUUUGAUUAUCAAUGGAAAAAGCCAUCAAGGUCAAGAUCAUAUUUCAGUGAAACACGCUCAAAGGAUUCUGAUGACAUUGUCAUUGGUGAUGUUAGAGUCACUGAAGAACUCAUGGCUUUAGACGUUGCCAUUCAUCCAAGACAUGCAAAGCAAAUGAGAGCACAUCAAUUGGCAGGUUUCCACUUUCUGGUGAAGAAUCUAGUCUCUGAAAAACCAGGAGGUUGCAUUCUAGCUCAUGCCCCUGGUUCGGGGAAAACAUUUAUGCUGAUUAGUUUCAUUCAGAGCUUCUUGGCAAAGUACCCCUCUUCAAGGCCCCUUGUUAUACUUCCUAAAGGCAUAUUAGGUACAUGGAAGAGGGAGUUUCAACGGUGGCAAGUGGAGGAUAUACCACUGUAUGACUUUUAUUCUGUCAAGGCUGAGAAGAGAGCAGAGCAGUUGGAAAUCCUCAAAUCUUGGCAAGCCAAACUGAGCAUCCUAUUUCUUGGAUACAAGCAGUUUUCUCAGAUCGUUUGCAGUGAUGGUGGUGGCAACGUCGCAGCUGCGUGCCGGGACAUGUUGCUUAAGGUCCCUAGCCUACUUAUAAUGGAUGAGGGCCAUACACCUAGGAAUCGGGAGACUGAUGUGCUAGAAUCAUUGAGCAGAGUCCUAACUCCACGUAAGGUGGUCCUAUCUGGUACACUUUUCCAGAAUCAUGUCAGUGAAGUGUUCAACAUCUUGAACCUUGUGCGCCCAAAGUUUCUCAAGUCGGACUCAUCUCGUCCUAUUGUUAAACGUAUAAUGAGUCAAGUAGCAAUAUCAGGUGGCAGAAUUUCAAAAGGGGCUGCUGAUAAUGCAUUCACUGAGUCAAUAGAAGAGACCCUGCUGCAUGAUGAUAACUUCACGAGAAAAGCACAUGUCAUUAGAAGUCUCAGAGAACUAACAAAAGAUGUGCUUCAUUACUACAAGGGUGACAUCUUAGAUGAACUACCUGGCCUAUUAGACUUCAGCGUCUUCUUGAAACUCAGUCCCAAGCAGAAAGAAAUCGUUCAUAAGUUGGAAUCCUAUGAGAAGUUCAAACGAAGCGCCGUAGGAACUGCAGUGUACAUGCAUCCUUGUCUGUCAGGAAUGUCAGAAGUUGACGCUGCAGAUAGGGCUAUCAACCUGACAGAUGCAAGCAUUGAUAGUUUGGUCGAGUCUAUCAACGUGACAGAUGGUGUGAAGGCCAGGUUUUUCACUAACAUCCUGGCGCUUGCGAAUUCUGCAGGAGAGAAGGUGCUUGCUUUUGGUCAGUACAUACUACCCAUGAAAUUUUUGGAGAGGCUAUUGGUGAAGACAAGGGGCUGGAAUGUAGGGAAGGAGAUCUUUGUGAUCAAUGGCGAUACUAGUCAAGAAGAGAGAGAACUGGCCAUGGACCAGUUUAACAACUCUGCUGAUGCAAAAGUUCUGUUUGGCUCUAUCAGGGCGUGCGGGGAGGGCAUCUCCCUCGUGGGCGCAUCAAGAGUUGUCAUUCUAGAUGUUCACUUGAACCCCUCUGUUACUCGUCAAGCAAUCGGGCGGGCUUUCAGGCCUGGGCAGCAGAAGAAAGUGUUCGUGUACAGGCUCGUGGCCGCCGACUCUCAAGAGGAAAGCUUCCAUCAAACCGCAUUCAAGAAAGAAGUCAUACCGAAGCUGUGGUUUGAAUGGAGUGAGCAGCACUGCACGUCGGACGACUUCCGGCUGAACAAAGUCGAUAUCGAUGACUGUGAAGACGAGCUGCUGGACAACAAAGCGAUGCGGCAGGAUAUCAAGGUCUUGUACAAAAGGUGA